UUCAGUUCUCUCUCUUUGAUUCUUCCCUUAGGAUUGAGGAAGGCCUGGCCGUGGCUCACAGCUGAGUCACACCUCUCCAGUAAAGCCUGAGGAGAGCAUGUCAAACCACCGGAAGACCUCAGUCAUGUGGGUUUUCCGGUUCACCCGUGGCAACAGUAAUUAUUUUCCACACGAAAGGCAAAGAUUCUUGUGUGGAUCCCAGAAGGCAUCAUAGAGGUAUCUCUGUCUCAGGCAGGAGUCCUACUUCUUGAAAGACAGGCUACCAAAAGAUAGGUCAGGGAGGCACAGCUGAAAAGAGAAUCUUGGUUUUUACCUAAAUCCUGUGACUUCAUUUGUCUUAGCAGCUGCAUUCUGAAGAUUGUGAAUU